rnacentral:rRNA from 1 species
CGCUGGCGGCGUGCUUAACACAUGCAAGUCGAACGGUGACCCAGGGCUUGCCCUGGUGAUCAGUGGCGAACGGGUGAGUAACACGUGGGCAACCUGCCCCUGACUUCGGGAUAACUCCUCGAAAGAGGAGCUAAUACCGGAUACGACCACUUCGGACAUCCGAUGGUGGUGGAAAGUUUUCGGUCAGGGAUGGGCCCGCGGCCUAUCAGCUAGUUGGUGGGGUAAUGGCCUACCAAGGCGACGACGGGUAGCCGGCCUGAGAGGGCGACCGGCCACACUGGGACUGAGACACGGCCCAGACUCCUACGGGAGGCAGCAGUGGGGAAUAUUGCGCAAUGGGCGAAAGCCUGACGCAGCGACGCCGCGUGAGGGAUGAAGGCCUUCGGGUUGUAAACCUCUUUCAGCAGGGACGAAGCGAAAGUGACGGUACCUGCAGAAGAAGCACCGGCUAACUACGUG